GAUGAACGCUGGCGGCGUGCCUAAUACAUGCAAGUCGAGCGAACAGACGAGGAGCUUGCUCCUCUGACGUUAGCGGCGGACGGGUGAGUAACACGUGGAUAACCUACCUAUAAGACUGGGAUAACUUCGGGAAACCGGAGCUAAUACCGGAUAAUAUAUUGAACCGCAUGGUUCAAUAGUGAAAGACGGUUUUGCUGUCACUUAUAGAUGGAUCCGCGCCGCAUUAGCUAGUUGGUAAGGUAACGGCUUACCAAGGCGACGAUUAGUAGCCGACCUGAGAGGGUGAUCGGCCACACGGGAACUGAGACACGGUCCAGACUCCUACGGGAGGCAGCAGUAGGGAAUCUUCCGCAAUGGGCGAAAGACUGACGGAGCAACGCCGCGUGAGUGAUGAAGGUCUUCGGAUCGUAAAACGCUGUUAUUAGGGAAGAACAAGUGUGUAAGUAACGAUGCACGUCUUGACGGGACCUAAUCAGAAAGCCACGGCGAACUACGU
rnacentral:rRNA from 1 species